rnacentral:rRNA from 1 species
UACGUAGGGUGCGAGCGUUGUCCGGAAUUAUUGGGCGUAAAGAGCUUGUAGGCGGUCUGUCGCGUCUGCUGUGAAAAUCCGGGGCUCAACCCCGGAUCUGCGGUGGGUACGGGCAGACUAGAGUGAUGUAGGGGAGACUGGAAUUCCUGGUGUAGCGGUGAAAUGCGCAGAUAUCAGGAGGAACACCGAUGGCGAAGGCAGGUCUCUGGGCAUUAACUGACGCUGAGGAGCGAAAGCAUGGGGAGCGAACAGG